GAUGAACGCUGGCGGCGUGCCUAAUACAUGCAAGUCGAGCGAACAGACGAGGAGCUUGCUCCUCUGACGUUAGCGGCGGACGGGUGAGUAACACGUGGAUAACCUACCUAUAAGACUGGGAUAACUUCGGGAAACCGGAGCUAAUACCGGAUAAUAUAUUGAACCGCAUGGUUCAAUAGUGAAAGACGGUUUUGCUGUCACUUAUAGAUGGAUCCGCGCCGCAUUAGCUAGUUGGUAAGGUAACGGCUUACCAAGGCAACGAUGCGUAGCCGACCUGAGAGGGUGAUCGGCCACACUGGAACUGAGACACGGUCCAGACUCCUACGGGAGGCAGCAGUAGGGAAUCGUCCGCAAUGGGCGAAAGCUUGACGGAGCAACGCCGCGUGAGUGAUGAAGGUCUUCGGAUCGUAAAACUCUGUUAUUAGGGAAGAACAAAUGUGUAAGUAACUAUGCACGUCUUGACGGUACCUAAUCAGAAAGCCACGGCUAACG
rnacentral:rRNA from 1 species